rnacentral:sRNA from 1 species
GCUGGGCUUGGUGGUGCACGCCUGUAAUCCCAGUGGCUUGGAGGCUGAGGCAGGAGGAUUGAAAGUUAAAACCAGCCUCAG